UAGGCUCUUCAAAGGAUGGGUGGUACGGUUUGGCUGUGUCCCCACCCACAUCUCAUCUUGAAUUAUAGUUCCCAUAAUGCUCGUGUGUUGUGGGAGGAACCAGGUGGAGAUAAUUGAAUCAUGGGGAGUUCUCACGAGAGCUGAUGGUUUCAUAAGGGGCUUCCUCCUUCCCUUGGCACUUCUCCUUGCUGCCACCAUUGAAGAAGGACGUAUUUGCUUCCUCUUCCACCAUGAUUGAAAGUUUCCUGAGACCCCCCCCAGCCAUGCUGAACUGUGGGAACCAGCCAUUGCACAAGCAGCCUCCACCCUUCAGAGGAAUGAAUUCCUCUCCAUUUCGGCCAACACCACGGAAUACACUGGAAAGAAGAUGAGAGGGCUUGUGUGUGCCUCUGAGGAGCUGCAGGGGCCACAGCAGGACUGGAUGACGCCAGAAGAAACAGCUGUCGAUCUGCUAUGGUGUACCCGGGGCCCAGGGGAACUCAGGUUUUCGUCUGUGAUGUGUGCUGUGAGGCUGCAUGCAUCCCCACAUAGCAGAGGGAGCCAAGCACUCCACAGGCUCCUCGUGUUGUUCUCCACAGCUCUGUGUGCUGCGCACCAACUUUGAUGCAAAUUUGGCCAGCUGGUUUUUGAAAAAGGUGCAAAAGUCAUCCCAUGAGGCUUGAAGGGCUCUCAUGUCAACAAAUGGUGACAGAGCUGGUGGCCAUCCGCCGGCGGAAGAAUGAACAGGCAAUCCUAUACAACAUUAACUCAACCAGGAUCGUGAACUUGAAUGCCAGGCGUGAAACCAUGAAGCACUUAGGAAAAGCACGGGAGAGAAUCUUUGGGAGCCAGGAGGAGGUGAGGCAUUCUUGGAAUCAAAAGCACAACUCACAAAAUGAAAAAGUGAUAAAGUGGCUUCAUCCCUGUGGCUCCGGGAAAGACCCAGUUUUAAAAUAAUUGAAAAGAACAGCUUCAGAGAAGGAGAAAACAUUUGCUUUUGGCAGGUCCAACAAAGGACUUGUCUCCAGGACACGGAGAGAACUCUCUCCAUGUGGAAUGUCAGCGGAGUGACCUCCCAGAGGGCCGGGAUGUCAGGCACUGCCCUGACCUCUGCAGCUUCCUGCAGUGAAGGAAGCAUUUGCCGGCCCUGUCCAUCAUGGUGGCCGCCAGCCACACGUGCCUCUCCUCCCUGGUCACUGGGAUUCGUUUACGGGUGGGCAUGUGGCCCAGGCUGGCCCCUCACAGCACCUACUUUUGCUGCCCUGUGGCCCUGGCCUGAGACCCAGGGUGGGGGACGUCAGUGCCCACCUGGCUGGGCAUCGCGGCCUCCCGUGCAGCUUGUGUGCCCGGCCGGGCAGCCCCAUGCCUUGCGCCAUUGGCCUCACUGCCGUGCUGUCGUUGUGCGUAGUUGGGUGGACGAAGGCUGAACUGAGGAAAGGGUGAGGCUUGCGUGGGUGUUGAAAAGGUGCUCAGCCCCUUCUCUCUUGGAUAUGGGCUUUGUGGCUCCCUCUGCAGGCUGAGGAACGGGCUUGCUGGACAGUCAGCCCCUGACCUGUGAUUAUCGCCAGACCCUGGAGGCCUCCUAGGGUCUGUUCAAUGGCCAGGUUUGUGCUUUUUCCCAACACCAUGAUGCCUGCUUUAACAAAGUAUUUUUAGCAAAGAUGAAUAGUGUAUACGGGCAGUAUGAAAACCGUCUGAAUUUGUUGGACUUUGGGUUUUGGAAAGAUACUACGUUAUCCGUGGGAGAUCAGAACUCAGAGGGCCACCGCCACAUCACACUGUCACGUGGUCCACGGCUAUCAACCCAUCAUGGGCCUGGCUGGGGUGCUCCUGCCUCCCUGGGCCUGCCUUUCCCUUGCUGGUGCCUCAACACCGCAGCUGGAGUCGUCCCCCUGGACCAGGGUCGGACCUUGUCUUUCCUGCCAGUGAGCCCUGAGGCCUCUCCUCACACUCAGAGUGAUGGCUGCAACCUAGUUCCACUUUCCCACCUCACCUUCGAGAACUUUCUGUGUCAUGUCUCUAGUCGGUCCUCCCUGGGCUCAGCUUCUCCCUCUAAAAUCCCAGCUAUCCCCUCACACAUCCUCUGCCCCUCCCACUUGAUUUCGUCCUGGCUUUUCCCACUUUAACACAACAGGCUUUCCCUCAUGUGUCUGGAUCCCCCUCUAGAGUGGAACCACCCUGAGGGCAGGGGACUUAGCCUGUCUCCUGCCUCCCGUUUCCCAGGGCAUCAGAGAGCAGAGUCCACUGCAGGGAAGCUUCUCAACGCAGGCUUGGCGAAUAAACGAUCAAAUGGAGCGCGUGCACAUGACAUCAUGCAGUCAUUUUUGGCACGAGAACCCACUGGACCCGCAUCAGAAGGCAGGCAGGACGGUGUGUUCCCCUGGCUGGAGAGCUUGAGAGCAGCCGGUGCUCUAGUGAGUGACACACCAGACGGGCAGGGCUUGAAGGAUUUGGUGUGAUUCAUGCAAACAGCAUCAGCAGCAGCAGCAGAGCUGGACAAAAGCCGUCGACGGCCUUUUCAAUAAACCAACAAGACGACCCUUGGACCGCACUUCCUUCUGAGCUGACUUCUGUAAACGCGGGCAGGUCCAGCCUGCGUCCCUGCUGGGGAAGGGGCUGUUUCAGCCUGGCUUCUGCCAAACAGGAAACACUUGGGCUUCCUGAAAAUGCUUCUUAUCUUUGACAAAAGUGCAAACUUAGAGGAUCUUGAUGUGGACAUUGAGCAGUUUGGGGGAGCGGCCAAGGAUUCCACGGAGGCCCCCAGCACACAGGGCCUUUCUCCAGGCUCAGGUACUGGAGAAACGUGGCCCUCCUGGGAGUGGGGAAGGGAGGGGAGCGCGGUGCGGGGAGGCACUUGGAGAGGGUGAGGCCGCAUAUCAGACUUGCCCUCACCCUGCUGUGGUGGGCAGAGAAAUAACAAGAAACAGUUGAAUAAAUACGAUUUUCCA